CCGCGCGUAGCUCAGCUGGAUAGAGCAGGUGGUUUCUACCCACCAGGUCGGGGGUUCGAGUCCUCCCGCGCGGA
rnacentral:tRNA from 1 species